rnacentral:rRNA from 1 species
UAGGGAAUCUUCGGCAAUGGGGGGAACCCUGACCGAGCAACGCCGCGUGAGUGAAGAAGGUUUUCGGAUCGUAAAGCUCUGUUGUUAAGGAAGAACGAGUGUGAGAAUGGAAAGUUCAUACUGUGACGGUACUUAACCAGAAAGGGACGGCUAACUACGUGCCAGCAGCCGCGGUAAUACGUAGGUCCCGAGCGUUGUCCGGAUUUAUUGGGCGUAAAGCGAGCGCAGGCGGUUAGAAAAGUCUGAAGUGAAAGGCAGUGGCUCAACCAUUGUAGGCUUCGGAAACUGUUUAACUUGAGUGCAGAAGGGGAGAGUGGAAUUCCAUGUGUAGCGGUGAAAUGCGUAGAUAUAUGGAGGAACACCGGUGGCGAAAGCGGCUCUCUGGUCUGUAACUGACGCUGAGGCUCGAAAGCGUGGGGAGCGAACAGGAUUAGAUACCCUGGUAGUCCACGCCGUAAACGAUGAGUGCUAGGUGUUAGGUCCUUUCCGGGACUUAGUGCCGCAGCUAACGCAUUAAGCACUCCGCCUGGGGAGUACGACCGCAAGGUUG